rnacentral:rRNA from 1 species
GAACGAGAAAGUGGAGCAAUCCAUGAGUAAAGUGGCGACCGGGUGAGUAACACGUGACUAACCUACCCUCGAGUGGGGAAUAACUCCGGGAAACCGGGGCUAAUACCGUAUAACAUCGCAAGAUCAAAGCCGCAAGGCGCUUGAGGAGGGGGUCGCGGCUGAUUAGCUAGUUGGUAGGGUAAUGGCCUACCAAGGCGAAGAUCGGUAGCCGGCCUGAGAGGGCGCACGGCCACACUGGAACUGAAACACGGUCCAGACUCCUACGGGAGGCAGCAGUGGGGAAUUUUGCGCAAUGGGGGAAACCCUGACGCAGCAACGCCGCGUGGAGGAUGAAGUCCCUUGGGACGUAAACUCCUUUCGACCGGGACGAUACUGACGGUACCGGAAGAAGAAGCACCGGCUAACUCUGUG